GGGUGCACACACGCUGGUGUGAUGCAGGAUGCGCGAUGGUCGGGCCGCCACG
rnacentral:ncRNA from 1 species